rnacentral:rRNA from 1 species
ACAGGAUUAGAUACCCUGGUAGUCCACGCCGUAAACGAUGUCGACUUGGAGGUUGUUCCCUUGAGGAGUGGCUUCCGGAGCUAACGCGUUAAGUCGACCGCCUGGGGAGUACGGCCGCAAGGUUAAAACUCAAAUGAAUUGACGGGGGCCCGCACAAGCGGUGGAGCAUGUGGUUUAAUUCGAUGCAACGCGAAGAACCUUACCUACUCUUGACAUCCACGGAAUUCGGCAGAGAUGCCUUAGUGCCUUCGGGAACCGUGAGACAGGUGCUGCAUGGCUGUCGUCAGCUCGUGUUGUGAAAUGUUGGGUUAAGUCCCGCAACGAGCGCAACCCUUGUCCUUUGUUGCCAGCACGUAAUGGUGGGAACUCAAAGGAGACUGCCGGUGAUAAACCGGAGGAAGGUGGGGAUGACGUCAAGUCAUCAUGGCCCUUACGAGUAGGGCUACACACGUGCUACAAUGGCAUAUACAAAGAGAAGCGAACUCGCGAGAGCAAGCGGACCUCAUAAAGUAUGUCGUAGUCCGGAUUGGAGUCUGCAACUCGACUCCAUGAAGUCGGAAUCGCUAGUAAUCGUAGAUCAGAAUGCUACGGUGAAUACGUUCCCGGGCCUUGUACACACCGCCCGUCACACCAUGGGAGUGGGUUGCAAAAGAAGUAGGUAGCUUAACCUUUGGGAGGGCGCUUACCACUUUGUGAUUCAUGACUGGGGUGAAGUCGUAACAAGGUAACC